rnacentral:rRNA from 1 species
UACGUAGGGUGCAAGCGUUAUCCGGAAUUAUUGGGCGUAAAGAGCUCGUAGGCGGUUUGUCGCGUCUGCUGUGAAAACUGGAGGCUCAACCUCCAGCCUGCAGUGGGUACGGGCAGACUAGAGUGCGGUAGGGGAGAUUGGAAUUCCUGGUGUAGCGGUGAAAUGCGCAGAUAUCAGGAGGAACACCGGUGGCGAAGGCGGGUCUCUGGGCAGUAACUGACGCUGAGGAGCGAAAGCGUGGGGAGCGAACAGG